UGAUGACCAAUGGAAAUGUUUUGCCGGAGGACAGAAGGAGUGGCGUUUAUCUCUGAAUAAAAACACAGGAUUUGUGUCAAUUCUUCAAACUUCACGUGUCCUGCUGCUGGUUGAUUUGCUUUUUUUGUGUGUUUUUUAUCCUGAAGCAGAUUUAAGAAAAGAGCAUCUAUGCAAUGUCUUUUUUAAAGAAAGGAAUGGACUUAAAAACAGAUGAGUUGGGUAAGAAAUGACCGGAAUAGCUAACAAACGUUUAAUCACUUUGCACUUUCUAAGUGUAUGUGGUUUAGUAAUUACUGAGUAUCACUGCCGUGGAGGAACAUUGCUGCAACAUUAAGUAAUUAAUUAACCACAUAAAAGCAGCGCUUGCCUUGUUUGAUAGACAGGUAAACAGACAGGCAGGCAAACAAGCAUAAAGACAGACAGGUAAACAGAGAGACAAGCAAACAAACAGACAGAGAAACAGAGAGACAGGCAAACAGACAGACAGGUAAACACAGAGACAGGCAAACAGACAGACAGGUAGACAGAUAGGCAAACAAGCUGACAGGCAAACAGACAGACAGGCAAACAAGCAAACAGACAGACAGGUAAACAGAGAGACAAGCAAACAGACAGAUAGGUAAACACAUACACAGGCAAACAGACAGACAGGCAAGCCAGCAAACAGACAGGUAAACAAGCAAACAGAGAGACAGGCAAACAGACAGACAGAUAAACACAGAGACAGGCAAACAGACAGGCAGGCAAGCAAACAGACAGGUAAACAGACAGACAGGCAAACAAGCAGACAGGCAAACAAGCAAACAGAAUGAAAGGCAAACAGACAGGCAGACAGACAGGCAAACAAGCAAACAGACAGUCAGGUUUACAGACAGACAGGCAAACAGACAGGAAAACAAGUAGACAGACAGAGAGAGAGAGAGAGAGAGAGAGAGAAUAAAAAUGUGGAAACAAAAACUUAAGUUAUCAUUUAAAAUGCAAGGUGUUAAGCAACCUAUUUGCAUUAAGUUAAUUGUUCAUUAUAAUUACUCUAUAUGUUUUAAGCAUGGAUGCUUAUGCUGAUGUGAGCAGAUGUGUGCUAGAUUCCAUAAUACAGACUUUCAGCACUAGUGAUAGCAAAACAUUAAGAUGAUCCCUGAUCAUGAAGACCUGCAGUCAGAUCUCUGUCAAUAGAUUUAUUUUCGUGUAUACUAUCUUAAAAUACCAAGUUGUGAAAUAACAAGAUAUGGCAGUACAUUGAUGUAUUUUGUAUUCAGCUAAUGGUAUUUUUGAUACAUUUUGGGGGGAGAUGCCUUAUUUCAUAUGAUUUUUAUUUAUUUGCUGGUCAGAAAAGCUUUAAACUUGAUAAGGUAAUAAAGUCAUUAUACAUCGACUUAAUAUAAUCAAACCAAGUCAGCUAGGCUGCUUGGACUUAAAAUGAUCAAUUUCCCUAAUUUCAAGGUUUUCUAAAAUAGUUCUAUUGUAUUUAUACUUUAUGUUAUAUAAAAUUAGACACAUAAUAUAAUUAUACGCCUUAAAGGUAUACUUCAAGCACCAUACCCACUGCAGAAAGCAAUUGAGAGGAGAAUUCCUUUAAAAAUACUGCUGUGAAUAUUAAAUACAUUAUUUUGUCUAACACAUCUGAAACGUUAAUUUGAAAUAUACACAUUGCCCUGUAGUAUGAUUAACAGCUGCUUUGGUGAGUGUAAUAAAUGUGAAGUAUAUAUUGCAUUACAAUAGCUGUAGAACAGGGACAGCUGUUUCCUGUAACUGUAAUAUUGCUGUGCAUUUGUUUUGUUGUAUAAAAAUAAAGGAAAAUUAAUUUUCAGCAAACGAAAAAACGUAUACAAAAGACUGUAGUUUGCCCCCUGCAGGAAGUUUAUUAGAAGUGCAGAGUUCUCUGCAAAUAUUAAACCGUUUGUAGCUAAACCAUAAUCACAUCAAUGUUCCUUCUCUUCAAAUCGGAAGUUUUAUUUCAUUCCUUUAACAUACAGUGGCUCAUGAAUAGGGUUAAAUAUUAACGGUUACUCCAAUCGAAAAAAUAAAAUAUUUUACUAAAACGCUGUGUUUGGUCAGAGUAAUCCUUACUAUGCGGCCCCUAACACCCCCCUCCCCCAAGAAACAAAAAAUGUUUUACUUUACCAGAUUUUGCCAGCAGCCUGAUCCUCCUCCAGUGAUGUCACGCCCUCGCUAGACAUGGAGGGAUACCAUUGGAGGAAAUGCUAUGCGUGCUGAUGUUAGAUUCCAAUAUGCACAGAAUUGACACUAGCCAGCCCUGAAUUCUUGAUCCACGCUGGUUAAUGAGAACCUAACGAUGCUUCAGAUGGAGUCACACCUCAGCAAACAGCUUUCAAAUUCAUAACAAAUAGCACAUAUAGGCUCCGAGCAACAUGACCACUUCAAAUCACUGAAGCAGUCACGGUGCAUGGAGUAACACUUUGAUUUUUGAUUUGUUAACAUAUUAAAAUCAAGUCAAGCCAAAAAAGCUAUUCCCCAAUUUCAUUAGUCCAAUGUGAGAGAAUAGUUAAAUAACACUUUAUUCAGUUACCUAAUUCCAGUGUGGUGAGUCACGCUGCACCUCCUCCUACAUCAGCCUACGGGGAGCCUAUUGCGCAUGCGCAGAGCCUGCAUUAGGUCUUCCCUACAGAAAAAAAAACAUGGCCUCAUAUAUGUUUUAUACGCAUGUGCUUUAUUCCUGUUUGCCCUACCGAGCUCAUACUCAGCAUUUUAUGUAUUUUGUUAUUGAGUUGAACUUGAAUAACUGGAUUCUUUUGUUGGGGCCUACCAUCAUUGGUUUGAAGUUUAAAUGCAUCUGCUUUAUUUACAAUAUGUUUCACCAGAAAAAAAAUAUAUAACAAUAAUCUGGUUUUCAAGUAUGUCCCAGGAAAAUUACAUUGCAUUCCUUAAAGGAACAGUAAAGACCCAUCAUGCCCAUCAAUGUUAGAGUGCUUCGUGUCAGUGCUUUUCCAACCACUCCUGAAGGAUCACUGAAGGGCCAUGGCUCAUGGAUAAACUCGUUAGAACACAGUAAAUCUUGGACUGCUGGAGGCCCUUUACUUUAAGGACUAUAACACGUUGCACACGUUCUCCCUACUGAAAGUGGCUUCUAAUUGCUGCAAUUUGAAAAAUCUCUGUAGUUCUAGGCCUAGCUUUGGGCACUAAAUGAAUCUUUCUACUUCCUUUGACAUCCAGGAUCCAUCCAUCUUGUGCACACAGUGGGUACAUACCACAAUCACAACUAGGACAGACAUCUCUCUUCUCCCCCUGAGCACGAGCUGGAGGCAUUGUAUACGCAGUCAGCGGUACAUGGUCUACUUUUUAAAACUGAGAAUUGGGAUAUGUAUAGUCUGACAGCUGGCAAGGUAUGGCUGCCAUGCGUUUAUAAACCAGUUCCAUCCAUCCUGUGAUGAGGUGAAAUGUAGCGAGGAAUAAACUACAAAUACCACAAACCACUGCUGGAAAACAGUUUAAAGGGACACUAUGGUCACCAAAACAACUUUAGCUUAAUGAAGUAGUUUCGGUGUAUAGAUCAUGCCUCUGCAGCCUCACUGCUGAAUUCUCUGCCAUUUGGAAGUUAAAUCACUUUGUUUGUGCAAAUUUAAUCACAGCUCUCUGAAUGUGAUUUACACAGCCUUUCUAAACACUUCCUGUGAAGAGUCAUCUAAUGUUUACAUUUACUUUGUUGCAAAUUAUGUUUAAUGUAGAAUUUCUUAUCUUCUGCCAUGUUAACAGGUUGCUUGCCCUAUAGGAGCCUACUGUAUAUAAUUAAAGUCCAAUGUACAGGAGAUAUACAUUUAAAGUAAGUUACAUCUGAUUGAAAAUGAAACCAUUUUGUUUUCACUAAGACUGUGUCAGUCACAGCCAGGGGAGGUGUGGCUAUAGAUGCAUAAACAGAAACAAAAGUGAUUUAACUCCAAAAUGGCAGUGAAUUGAGCAGUGAGAGUGCGAGAGCAUGAUCUAUACACUAAAACUGCUUCAUUAAGCUAAAGUUGUUUUGAUGACUAUAGUGUACCUUUAAAAAAAUUGACCAGAGUGAGCGGCCUCAAGAUUGGCAAAGCCUCUUUCUGGUCAGGAAGUGUCUGCCAGCUGCUUGUCUUGGAUAUGUACAUACUAGAGGUUUAUAAUAUUUAAUGAUUUUGCUUUUUGUAUAAAUCUUACUUUGAUGCAUAAUGCUGUGUCUCUCACCACAGCCAGCAAAAAGAGCAAUUCUCCCAGAUUAAUAGUGCACAAACACUGUUAUUUUAAUCUCUAUAUUGGUAUAGUCUUACCCCUCAAUAUGUACAAAUAUAUAUACAUAUAUUACACAGCACCAAUGCCAAAAAAUGGGUUCCCCAUAAACAAACAUAAUGAUCACACUUUUGUUUUUUUCCUUACUCCUUCAUUAAUGCCAGUACGCAUCAUGAUACAUAUGGAGGAAAGAAAAUACAAAUAUAAAUAUAUAAUAGUGCUCUCUGUUAUUAAAAACACAGCUAUUAGGCUAGUAAAGCAUCAUGGGAAUUGCAGUCCUACAAUAGCUGGAGAUUCAAUUCCCAGCCACCCCUGCUUUAGCGUAUAGGUUCCUACACCAUGCACUGACACCUUAAGAGUGCCUGUCUGUGGGUGUGGAUUGGACAUUCUCAUUUUCCAAUGGGCUCCAGGGCACCUCGGGCCCGUCAUACUAAACCUCUGUUUUACCAGAGGCAUUUGUGCCUCCCUUGUCCUCCACCCUAAUCCUGCACGCAAGACUGCACAGUUUCACCACACCUUGCCUAAUUGUGCUGUCAGUAAACAGUGCGGCCCAGACACAAACUGUGCGACCAAAGCAAUGAUGUAGCUGCAUUUAUUAUUCAUCACAAAUUUCCCUCUUCUGAACCUAUUUCUAUAGACUGCAUCCUGAGACCCCCCAAAAAAGUACUGGGCUAUUCAAUAAAGUGUUAAUUAGUUUUCUGGCAAUUUGACUCACAGUUUACAUGUUUGCACUCUUUGUAUGAAUCUAAAAUGAAAUAAAACUACGUUUGAGUGGAGCUUCUGGUUUUCGUCCCUCAGACUGUUGCAUGGAGGAGUCACCCUAACAGGGCUGCUGGUGGGCUGAUUAUGGCUGAAUGCUACUAAUGAAAAAUUAAUUAUACAGGGGAGAGUUGGGAAAGAGGGCAGGGGGAAUUUGCCCCCCAAUCCACAAUUAUAGAGAUGUUUUUGAGUUGCUUCACAGUACGAUACUAAAUAUUAUGUUACUAUAUUCUUUUAUUAUAAUGUAUACUAUAUCAUAUUAUUGUAGUCUAGUUAUGCAGUAUUAGCAUAAAACAUUUAAUCCAAAAUUAAAAUUAAUAAAGAAAGUGGAGAAUGAUAUAACAGGAUGGUAGUUGUCCUCAACUUGGGCUUUUGGUAGUUGUCUGGUAGGCCCAACGUAUCCAGCUAUCCACUGUACUUACAUUUCAACAGAAAUGGGUUUUAUUUUCCAACUCUCGGUGACCAUUAUCAACGUGUCCUGAGUUUUUUAUAAUGAUUAUUACGAAGUUACCUCAGCUGGAGGCUUAAUCACUAUACUUUUGUUUUGUUUGAGGUAAGCAGGGGCGUUGCUAGGAACCUGGAGCUUAAACCCAAAGCUAAACGGGAUAACCACUACAAUAACAAAGAUUUAGGGUAUGUCAUGACAUUUCCCACCUCUCUACCCAUGAAUAGAGAGCUGAUGAUGCCCCUCAAGAUUUGAAUAAAAUAAAAAAUCUUCUUGUCUAAUUCAUUUACUAUAGCGAUCUGAGAGUCUUACAUCUGGGGCUUCAGCCCUUACAGUCCCGCCAUCGAGCAAUGUCAGUGACUGUCACCUUAUGGUAGGUGACUAUUUAUUAAAUAUGAAGAUUGGUAAUUAAAGGUAAGACUCCCUAGAGGUUUGCAUUCAAGCUGACAAAUUCAGAGAAGACAAAAAAGUUUUUUUAUGGAAAGUGAUUAACUCAUAUAACCUCACAAAAUUCUAAAUUUCCCCUCUCUACAAAUGCCAUCUAAAUACCAACGAGGCCUAUUUUUUUCCACACAAGGGUUGUCCACCAGCAUACACACAGUAAAAUCAGGUGCACAUUGCUUGUGUGAAACACCUAUCUAGUUUGAAAAGUUGAGGGUUUAGUAAUAUAUAUAAGAUUAGAUAUAACCAUAUAAUUAGAUAUGGCCAUAUCAUAUUAGCCAUGGACUUCAUCAAGGUCCCAUUGACCAAAAUAAAGGGCAGCACCAUGAUGUUUUACUUUUCAUAUUUUUAAGUGGAGUUGGUCAUAAACAUAAAUGUUCUUCCAGGGUCAAAGCUUGGCUCAUACCAGACCUGCUGUUUGCAGUAACCAGUAACAAAAACCUCAUUAACCAGUUAUUACAAGAUCCAUGGGAAUACAAUGUACCCAAACAUACAAUCUAUACACACACCAAUUACACGUUUAAAGCAUGACAUGACAUUUACACAUGCAUAAUAAUUUCAGUGAUUUGAAGUGAUCAUGGUGCCUGGAGUCUGUAUUUUCAUGGUUUUGCUUUGAAACGCUGCACAUACGGAGAUCGACCACUCUGCUGGCAGAGGUCUAACUUCACCUUCAGAAGGGUCACUGGGGUGUCAUCGGCCAGUCAGGAACUGAGCAAUUGUUUGUUUUUUUUCACCAAAAUUUCAUUCAUUGGCGGAGGGCGGUCAGUUGAUACUCUCAGCCAAUGAAUGGUGAAUCUCCUGAGCUGCAAAAGCCAGAAGCUCAUCACCUGACAUGAGAGUUGACCAGGAGCCUAGCAAGUAGCCAGGUAAGAGGGCAAAUUUACUCAUUACCGGAGUACCAGGCCAGGGAACUCCUGGCAGCAUAACCACUACAGCGAACGAGUAACCCUUUGAGCUUGAUCAUCGUGUAGCAGUUUCGUAUUACUGCUAUUACAAACGUUAAAUACAUAGUUUGUGAUGUAUUUCCGUUAACCCUCGCUUAUCCUCUUCCAUUCUAUGGUCUGCUUUGAAUUCAUGUCUCUCUGCAUUGUCGUUACAGUGAAACAAGGAAAGGAAGUUGUACAAGAUACUGCAAAUCAAUGCACCGAAGAGGGGCAGAAGGUUGCUCAGGAAGGCAAGUCAAAUGUAUACUGUGAUACUAUAUCAAUGAAAAACAGGAAAAUAGCAUCUACAUGACUAUCUCCACCAAGCUUAAAGGGUUACUCCAACCACCAUGAACAUGAACAUGCUUCUAGAAGUAGUCAUGGUGGUAGGAGUCUGUAUGGGCAGCACUUCAAGCAGAGAAAUGUUGUACUUUUGUGCCAGGGGCUAGUUGCAUCCCUGUCACAUGUGACUUAGGCAGCUGGGAACUCUGUUCUGGGCUGCCAAAUGUCAGUUCCAUGUAAAAACUGUCAUCUGCUGCCGACGGAUGUUAUCAGCUUAUACCCUUGAAGUGUCUGAACGAGGAAGCUUGAAUGUGCCCUUCCUCCCUUCUUUAUUUAGCUCUCCCCAUAAAGGCCACAUUUAUUGCUCUUUUUUUUCCCUCCCUCCAUUGACCACCUCCCAUGUCCCUCCUUCCCCAGCAGCGAGCGCAUGCGCUUUCAGUAGAUAAAAUGGUCCCAUCCAAUGCUUCUCUGUGAGAAUCAUUUGAUUGAACGAGUGAGGCUUAGCCAACGCUGGGUUCCAGGUCAUUUUAUAACUUGGAGGGGGGAGGGGUAACUAGUAAUGCCCAAUAAAGUAUAUGUUUAACAAAAUGGAGUAAUCAUUAAACUGUUGAUUAUAAAAUUUAAUAGUGAUGUGCAAAAUUAGCUUAAGCCAGUUCUACUGAAUCAAAUAUGUGGCAAAGAUCCUUCUUUCUCUGUACUUAAGUGUCCAUAAUAGGGCCAUAACUGGUCAUUAAAUUUUGUCACUAGAAUAAAAUAAACUCCCUAUCAAUGAAUAAAGAAAACAUGGUUUUAGCAAUGACUUCCAGAGCAGCCAUGAAGAGGCAAAGUGGUCCAAUACAUGCUCAUCUUCAUUUUUCCUAGGAGCUCCAUAUUGUUGGUGUGUCUGUGUAUAACAGAGCUCCACAGCAAUAAUAUACCCAGUAAUGUGUCAGAGUGUAUGACAGAGCUCCACAGUAAUAAUACUCCCAAUAAUGUAUCUGAAUGUAAAACAGAGCUCCACAGCAAUAAUACACCCAGUAAUGUGUCUGAGUGUAUAACAGAGCUCCACAGCAAUAUUACUCCCAAUAAUGUAUCUGAGUGUAUAACAGAGCUCCACAGCAAUAAUACUCCUAGUAAUGUGCCUGAGUGUUAACAGAGCUCCACAGCAAUAAUACACCCAUUAAUAUGUCUGAGUGUAUAACAGGGCUCCACAGCAAUAAUACUCCCAAUGAUGUGUCUGAGUGUAUAACAGAGCUCCACAGCAAUAAUACUCCCAGUAAUGUGACUGAGUGUAUAACAGAGCUCCACAGCAAUAAUACUCCCAGUAAUGUGUCUGAGUGUAUGACAGAGCUCCACAGCAAUAAUACUCCCAGUAAUGUGUCUGAGUGUAUAACAGAGCUCCACAGCAAUAAUACUCCCAGUAAUGUGUCUGAGUGUAUAAAAGAGCUCCACAGCAAUAAUACUCCCAGUAAUGUGACUGAGUGUAUAACAGAGCUCCACAGCAAUAAUACUCCCAGUAAUGUGUCUGAGUGUAUAACAGAGCUCCACAGUAAUAAUACUCCCAAUAACGUGUCUGAGUGUAUAACAGAGCUCCACAGCAAUAAUACUCCCAGUAAUGUGUCUGAGAGUAUCACAGAUCUCCACGGUAAUAAUACUCAGAGUAAUGUGUCUGAGUGUAUUACAGAGCUCCAUUGCAAUACUACUGCAAUAAAUGUGUUUAGAAAUCAGUCUGUGUGAAUAAGAUACAUUGUUCUUGUUCUAAAUUACAUUUUAGUUGUAUAAACUAUUAAUAGUAAGCCACCCAAACGUUCUCACAACAGCCCUGCCCUUGGCAACACCCCACUCACACUCCUAAAAUUAAAGUGUCCCACUUUGUCCAUUUGCAAUGUCAGGUGGCAUGCAUUAAGUAUGUUAUAAAACUAUAAACACCUUUGUUCUGUACAAUUUCAGUUGUCGAUAAAGGAUGCCAGGCUGCUAAAGAUGCUGGGGAGAAGGCAGUAGGACAAAUCAAAGGAGGCUGCUUUAAGAAAAAGUAAAGACUUGCCUCCAAAAUGCCCUGGAUCACACUGCUCUCAAUGUCUUUUCAGUGAAUAAUAUAUUAAAAUGUGGUUCUGCUCCUGCUCACCCAGGAUAUACGAUAUAUACCCUUUCAUCAGAAAAAUACAAAACAACAAAAACAUAUAUUGAGUAUUCUCCCUAUUAAUUCAAGAUGGUUUAAUAUAUAUUAAACAACUGUGGUAAAAACUCCUGCUUUAUUUAUGUAUUUAUGUGUGUGUGUCUGAUUGUUCACAUGAUACUGGAUUAGAAGCUACAAGAAAAUGCCUAUAUUCAAACGCACAAACACUGCUCACGAAUACAACCCUUCCAGGAUGGCCCGGUAGUAGAUCCCCAGCUGGCAUAGCAUCAUGGGGGUUGAAUGACAGAUGGGGAUCUAUCUUUACGCCACUCUUACGCCAAGGGGGGCAAAAAGGUUUAUUGCACCAGGUCCCUCUUCUCAUUUAUUACGUCACUGAUUAGACAGCUGUUGUGGUUGUCAAGUAGAGUUGAGAUAAAACCGGAAACAAAUAGGAUUGGGAUCUGUACUGGUUUACAAGUUAUGUUGGAAGAACCCUAAACCUUAAAUAUGAACCAUCUAGUAAUUUGCCAAUAAAGAACUUCUGGC